rnacentral:lncRNA from 10 species
UAAGUGGGUUUCACUGUACUGGCAACUCUCGUGGGUUCCUUUUUUCUGCUACACUGAGUGGCACGUUCAUAUCUGAUUUUCAGUGCAUUUGCUCCUAGUUAUCUCUCAGUGUUUCUGCUUCAGGAAGGUUCACUGUUCAGUCCAUCUUCCUUUCUCUGGGUGAAGGGUGGGUCAGAGGGUAGAAUCAGCCUGAGAGCUGUUGCCCUGACUGCCUCAGAACCCAGCUGCAGAUGCUCUCCAUGCAUGAGGCAUCCGGGAAGGGAAGGUGAGACUCUCGCUCCAGAACCAGCUUCACAGCAUAAUGAAAGCACAGGUGUUCCCUCCACAAUCUUGCAUGAAUGGUUCACUCAAGACUGAUGUGACAAUAUUCCAGAAGAAGUAUUCUGCCACCCUCACUGUCAACAUCAAGCAAUCCAGAGUCUUUUAAACCAAUGUCUGCAUAUGGAAGAUUCAUAGAUCAAGCUUUGUGUUCCAGUCCUAAGAAUAAGGAGUUUUCUCUCAAUAUCUUGUUCAUGUCUGGUUGGGAGAUAUAACCAAAAUAUUUUUGACACUUCCACCUUGAAUUUUUCUAGCAGUCAUAUGCUAAUUAACAAAGUGCUAAUUUCACCAAUAAAAAUCCACUUCUGACAUUCGCUAUGCUAAUUAGUGCAAUAUCUUUAUCAGAGACAAAGAUAGCUGAAGUGCUUGCUUGUAGUAGCCUCCUCUGGAGUGUGGCCUUUCACUGUCAGCUAACAGCCUCCCACCUGCCUCUUGGGGAGUGAAUUCCUGAUUAGAAUGCUAGUUGCACCAGGGGUGCAAUGUCAACUAACCAUCCUUAGAGCAUAAGAUCUAUUCUGAUACAUUUUAUGUAAAUUACAGUGUGGCCUCUCUAAGUCCUAUAAAGGAAACAAAACAGGUUAGUGGCUUGGAGGUUUUUUUUUUUUUUUUUUUGAAGGUCUCUAGGAGAAGGACAGUGGGACAGCGAUACCUAAAGAUAUUCAAGCUAAUAUCUGAGUUUAGAGAGCAGCUAGACUUAAGAAUAUUUUGGUGAAUUGCAUUCCAGACAGAGGUAAAAGGAAGUGCAGAGGUUCAAAUGCAAAAGUGAGCUUGAUGUGUUCAAGGAAUCGGCACAAGUCCAGUGUGACUAGUGCAGUGAGACACCAUCAGAAGGAGGGCAGAUGGGAUCAGGAAUAUGAGGAGAAACUUGAUCACUGAAGGCCAUGUUAAGAAACUUGGAUUUUAUUCCAAAUGUAAUGGGAAUUUAUUGCAGAGUUUUUAGUAAGGGAGCAACAUCAAAUUUAUAUUUUAAAAGAGGUCUCUGCUGAGUGAGGAGAACAGAUUGCAGGUGGGUAAGAGAGGAAUCUGUGAGACCACUUAGGAAGCUUUUGUGGUCCAUAAAAGAGAUUAUGGUGGUCUAAUUUAAAGUGGUAUUAGUGAAGGUGGAAAUAAAUGAACAAAACUGAGGAUAUCUUUGGACAUAGAGCCAAUAGAACUUAGAGAUGAAAAGAAAUUAGGAGGCAGAAUGAAGGUAAAGAAAACAAAAGCUUAGUUUUGAGUUUCCGCAGCUAGAUUGCUUGUGGUACCAUCUACUAAGAUGCAGAGGAUUGAGGGAAAUACAUACUUUUGGUGAUAGGGUGUGAAUAGGGUAUUAAUAUCAUAGAAAGAGAUCAUCAACAUGUAUAUUAGGAACUACUUGUAAGGUCACAAAUUCUAAGCCAGUUUCUUCCACUAAGGCUAAUAAAUUUUUUCAGAGUUUGUAGAAAUUUCUAGAGGUACAGUAAAGCCUUCAGUAGCAUCAUGCUAUCCAUGCCUUUCAGCAGUUCUGCAAUUGAUAAUCCUAUCCUUCUUAAGACUCUAAAAGCUUUGUGAAAAUGAAAUGUGGUUCUUCAUAUAAAGACCGGAAGCCCUACUAGAACAGUCACAGGCCACAUGACAAUUAUUGAGAGAAGGGAUAUAUCACAGCCUUCAGACACGGAAGAUAUGGGAUCAAAUUCUGUCUCUGCUCCUGAUUCACACUAUGACUUUGGACAAGUCUGGAAGUCUCAGUUCUCUCAUUUGUAAAAGGGAAAUAAUCUACAAAGUGAACAUUGAAUAAUGUGUGUGAAACUUUUUAAACUGGGUAAAACUGCUAUAAUCUUUGUUACUACUUUUAUUACUAUAAAAAAACUCCCAACAACACAAGCCUUAUUUCUGAAUGUAGUAAAUAUGAAACCCACUCACUGAGACUACUAUGUGUAAGGCCCUUAUUUUACAGACUUUUCUAUGUAUAAUUACCAAUUUUAACAAAAAUAUCUUCUCCUGAGUCUUCAAGAAGUGAGCCUGGAUAAUAAAUCACAUUAUCUCUUAGCUAACAAUGAUUCAAUCUGAAAUCACUCAAUCUUUACAAAAAUUCACUGCACCAAAACCACCUGGGGGGCUUUAAUAAAACACUGUUUCCUAGGCCUUACCCUAGACCUGCUGAUAUGGUUUGGCUCUAUGUCCCCACCCAAAUCUCAUCUCAAAUUGUAAUCCCCACGUGUUGAGGAAGGGACCUGAUGGGAGGUGUGUGGGUCCUGGGAGAGUUUCCCCUAUGCUGUUCUCGUGCUGGUGAGGGAGUUCUCACGAGAUCUGGUGGUUUGAUAAGUGUCUGCAGUUUCCCCCAUGCUCUCUCUCUCUUGUCUGCUGCCAUAUAAGAUGUGCCUUUCUUCCCCUUCGCCUCCUGCCAUGAUUGUAAGUUUCCUGAGACCUCCCCAGCCAUACCAAAUUAUGAGUCAAUUAAACCUCCUUUCUUUAUAAAUUACCCAGUCUCAAGUAGUAUCUUUAUAGCAGUAUGAAAAUGGAGGAAUACACCUGCAGAACCAGAGUCCUUGUGAAUAGGACCCAGGAAUCAAUAUUUAUCAAAUACUCCCCUGGUGAUGGUGAUGCAGCUGGCCCACACUCUGAC